GUUAACCCCUCAAAACUCUUAGGGAAAACAUGGGAGGACAAAAAAUUGGAAUUAUGGUUAUUCUUCUAUGCGGUGCAAUUCUAUUGGGAUCAGUUAAUCCAACAAAUGCAUGCCCACAAUAUUGCUUGGACUACGCGUAUAUGACUUGCCCAUCAUCAGGUAGCCAGAAGCUUGAUCCGGCCUGCAACUGCUGUUUAGCUCAAGGCUGCACCCUCUACCUCGCUGAUGGAACUUCAACUUAUUGCGAUUGAUGGAGCUUACAAUUAAUUUGCAUGCUCUUUACAAUCUUAAAUAUGUAUGUUUGCAAAUAAUGAGAUUGGAUUUGCAACAAUAAUAAAUUAUAAUAAUAAAACAAUAGAGACUUAUUGUCUCUAUAUUCUCUUA